rnacentral:rRNA from 1 species
UACGGAGGGUGCUAGCGUUGUCCGGAAUCAUUGGGCGUAAAGCGCGUGUAGGCGGUCCGGUAAGUCCGCUGUGAAAGUCGAGGGCUCAACCCUCGAAUGCCGGUGGAUACUGUCGGGCUUGAGUACGGGAGAGGCGAGUGGAAUUCCUGGUGUAGCGGUGAAAUGCGCAGAUAUCAGGAGGAACACCGAUUGCGAAGGCAGCUCGCUGGAACGUUACUGACGCUGAGACGCGAAAGCGUGGGGAGCAAACAGG